rnacentral:rRNA from 1 species
GAUGAACGCUGGCGGCGUGCCUAAUACAUGCAAGUCGAGCGAACAGACGAGGAGCUUGCUCCUCUGACGUUAGCGGCGGACGGGUGAGUAACACGUGGAUAACCUACCUAUAAGACUGGGAUAACUUCGGGAAACCGGAGCUAAUACCGGAUAAUAUAUUGAACCGCAUGGUUCAAUAGUGAAAGACGGUUUUGCUGUCACUUAUAGAUGGAUCCGCGCCGCAAUAGCUAGUUGGUAAGGUAACGGCUUACCAAGGCAACGAUGCGUAGCCGACCUGAGAGGGUGAUCGGCCACACUGGAACUGAGACACGGUCCAGACUCCUACGGGAGGCAGCAGUAGGGAAUCUUCCGCAAAGGGCGAAAGCCUGACGGAGCAACGCCGCGUGAGUGAUGAAGGUCUUCGGAUCGUAAAACUCUGUUAUUAGGGAAGAACAAAUGUGUAAGUAACUAUGCACGUCUUGACGGUACCUAAUCAGAAAGCCACGGCUAACUACGUG